UCCAGCACAUCACCCAGCAACAGAUCCAAUGAGUGAAAUGACGAAGUCGGCAACGCACCGGAGAAAAUUAUCGCUGCCGACCACCAUCAUGGCCUCCUCCUCCUCCACCACCUCGUCCCCAAAUCCCGUAGCAACAACCUCAUCACCCUACUUCCUACCUGAGCUCACCCCCCAGAUCGCGAGUUGCCUGACCACCCUCCAGGAUUUCUUCGCCCUCCGUGCAACCUACCGGGAUCUCCUCCCUCCGUCGCCGUCCAGCCUCGCCUCCCAAGCCCCCCACCUCCUCCUUGUCCCCGGAUCUCGAGCCAUGUUCCACCUCCCCCUCCGUCGUCGCCUGCGCUUCCGCCUCCCCCUCCAUGAUUUUGAUCCUAACCCUGCCGCGCCUUCUACUCUUUCGGCUGUCGCAUCGCCAUGGCCAGCCCCAGCCACCAUGAGAUCAGCUUCGUCCACCUCCUCACAGGCGAGCAAUUUCGCCUCCCCUAUCCACCGACACCCUUCUGCCGCCUCCUCCUCUCUGGAGAUCUCGUCCUUGCCUUCGUUCCAACAGUCGGCAGUGCCGUCCAGUACUGUCGUCUUGGGGAUGUUGAGUGGCGCGUGGCGUCAUGCACUGAACCGUACGUGCUUGAGGAUUUGAUCUUUCUCAAGGGCAACCUACAUGCGCUGGUCAGAUCUGAAGAUGCCGGCGGCCUAUGUUACCGUCUCGCCGUGGCCAAUCUGUCAGACAAGAAUACAGUGGAAUUAACGUUUCUUGGAGAUCAUUUGGAUACACAGGCUGCACAUGGGAGUUCAUAUUUCUGUCUCGCAGAGUGUCUCGAUGAGUUGUUGCUUAUUAGCGCUGUUGGGGACUGCCCAGAGGAGUUUCAUGUUUUCCGGUGGCAGUCAAGGGAGGGGAAGUGGACAAGGACUACUAGCCUUGGUGACUGCACAUUGUUCUUGUCAUACUUUUACUUUGUAGGCCGUGUUGUUCCGACGAAAGGAAUGACAUGCUUUUCAGGUUAUUACUUUGCAAGUUGCCUUGGUCCAGAUCAUCCAGGAGUUCGAAGGGACUACUUAUACUUCACAGAUGCCAAAAGAAAGUGGAUCGAGUAUUCCUUGGCCGAUGGAUCUUGUGAGGAAUUUGUUUCUGAGAACUUAGAGGGAGCCGCAUUGUCCGAUUCUGAUUUCAGGCCACCUGUUUGGGUCUUUCCGAGCAUGUGUUGAUGCACUCAUAUGGAUCACAGUGCUAUGUGAAAGUUACUGUCCAAAGUGACCCAGAAGCACAAGAUGAUGCUACGUACCACCAGGAGGGGAGCAUCUCCAACUCGGAUGAGUGGUUAUCAGGGUAAUCGUUCACGCUGAAACCUACUCUCCAAUAAAAGACAUAUAUAUUCUACUGUACAUAUACAAUGUAUUUUAUCCGCAGCUAUUUCAGCAUGAGCAGAGUACCAUGGCCUCUGAACAUGGGUAUGUAAUGUCCGCGGCUUUGCGAAUCUUUUCAACAAGCAUAAUACUGUUUCCCGGA